UACGAAGGGGGCUAGCGUUGUUCGGAAUCACUGGGCGUAAAGGGCACGUAGGCGGAUCGCUAAGUCAGGGGUGAAAUCCUGGAGCUCAACUCCAGAACUGCCUUUGAUACUGGCGAUCUUGAGUCCGGGAGAGGUGAGUGGAACUGCGAGUGUAGAGGUGAAAUUCGUAGAUAUUCGCAAGAACACCAGUGGCGAAGGCGGCUCACUGGCCCGGUACUGACGCUGAGGUGCGAAAGCGUGGGGAGCAAACAGG
rnacentral:rRNA from 1 species